GCAUAUCAAUAAGCGGAGGAAAAGAAACCAACAGGGAUUGCCUCAGUAACGGCGAGUGAAGCGGCAACAGCUCAAAUUUGAAAUCUGGCCCCAGGCCCGAGUUGUAAUUUGCAGAGGAUGCUUUGGGCGCGGUGCCUUCCGAGUUCCCUGGAACGGGACGCCAUAGAGGGUGAGAGCCCCGUACGGUCGGACGCCUAGCCUGUGUAAAGCUCCUUCGACGAGUCGAGUAGUUUGGGAAUGCUGCUCAAAAUGGGAGGUAUAUUUCUUCUAAAGCUAAAUACCGGCCAGAGACCGAUAGCGCACAAGUAGAGUGAUCGAAAGAUGAAAAGCACUUUGAAAAGAGGGUUAAACAGCACGUGAAAUUGUUAAAGGGGAAGCGCUUGUGACCAGACUUGCGUCCGGUGAAUCAUCCAGCCUUCUGGCUGGUGCACUUCGCCGGCUCAGGCCAGCAUCAGCUCGCUGUCGGGGACAAAAGCUUCGGGAACGUAGCUCCUCUCGGGGAGUGUUAUAGCCCGUUGCACAAUACCCUUCGGUGGGCUGAGGUACGCGCUCCGCAAGGAUGCUGGCGUAAUGGUCAUCAGCGACCCGUCUUGAAACACGGACCAAGGAGUCAACCUUAUGUGCGAGUGUUUGGGUGUUAAACCCCUACGCGUAAUGAAAGUGAACGCAGGUGAGAGCUUCGGCGCAUCAUCGACCGAUCCUGAUGUUCUCGGAUGGAUUUGAGUAAGAGCAUAUAGGGUUGGACCCGAAAGAAGGUGAACUAUGCGUGUAUAGGGUGAAGCCAGAGGAAACUCUGGUGGAGGCUCGCAGCGGUUCUGACGUGCAAAUCGAUCGUCAAAUAUGCGCAUGGGGGCGAAAGACUAAUCGAACCUUCUAGUAGCUGGUUUCCGCCGAAG
rnacentral:rRNA from 1 species